rnacentral:misc_RNA from 1 species
GAUGAAGAACGUAGCGAAAUGCGAUAAGUAAUGUGAAUUGCAGAAUUCAGUGAUUCAUCGAAUCUUUGAACGCACAUUGCGCCCGCCAGUAUUCUGGCGGGCAUGCCUGUUCGAGCGUCAUUUCAACCAUCAAGCUCUGCUUGCGUUGGGGAUCCGCGGCUGCCCGCGGUCCCUCAAAACUAGUGGCGGGCUCGCUAGUCACACCGAGCGUAGUAACUUUACAUCGCUAUGGUCGUGCGGCGGGUGCUUGCCGUAAAACCCCCCAAUUUUUAAGGUUGACCUCGAAUCAGGUAGGAAUACCCGCUGAACUUAAGCAUAUCAAUAAGCGGAGGA